rnacentral:rRNA from 1 species
AGAGUUUGAUCCUGGCUCAGAUUGAACGCUGGCGGCAGGCCUAACACAUGCAAGUCGGACGGUAGCACAGAGGAGCUUGCUCCUUGGGUGACGAGUGGCGGACGGGUGAGUAAUGUCUGGGGAUCUGCCCGAUAGAGGGGGAUAACCACUGGAAACGGUGGCUAAUACCGCAUAACGUCGCAAGACCAAAGAGGGGGACCUUCGGGCCUCUCACUAUCGGAUGAACCCAGAUGGGAUUAGCUAGUAGGCGGGGUAAUGGCCCACCUAGGCGACGAUCCCUAGCUGGUCUGAGAGGAUGACCAGCCACACUGGAACUGAGACACGGUCCAGACUCCUACGGGAGGCAGCAGUGGGGAAUAUUGGACAAUGGGCGAAAGCCUGAUCCAGCCAUGCCGCGUGUGUGAAGAAGGUCUUCGGAUUGUAAAGCACUUUAAGUUGGGAGGAAGGGCAGUUGCCUAAUACGUAACUGUUUUGACGUUACCGACAGAAGAAGCACCGGCUAACUCCGUGCCAGCAGCCGCGGUAAU